rnacentral:rRNA from 1 species
UACGAAGGGGGCUAGCGUUGCUCGGAAUCACUGGGCGUAAAGGGUGCGUAGGCGGGUCUUUAAGUCAGGGGUGAAAUCCUGGAGCUCAACUCCAGAACUGCCUUUGAUACUGAAGAUCUUGAGUUCGGGAGAGGUGAGUGGAACUGCGAGUGUAGAGUGAAAUUCGUAGAUAUUCGCAAGAACACCAGCGGCGAAGGCGGCUCAC